AGGAAAAGACAUCAACAGAGAUUCCCGUAGUAGUGGCGAGCGAACCGGGACCAGGCCAGUGCCUUUUAGUCAACUAACAGAACACUUUGGAAAGAGUGGCCAUAGUGGGUGACAGCCCCGUAUGUGAAAGUGAUCUAAAAGGACUUGAGUAGGGCGGGACACGUGAAAUCCUGUCUGAACGUGGGGGGACCACCCUCCAAGCCUAAGUACU
rnacentral:rRNA from 1 species